GGAGGACGAACGCUUCGCUUAUAAAAAAACCCCUAAAUUCCUAUCGUUAGUCUUAUGAAGCUGCUCUAAACAAAACAACAAGCAAACAACUCGCCGGCGCGCGUUCCGCCGAUGCAGACAGAAGAGGAUGGUCGCGAACAGGACGAUGCAGCCGGCCACCGCGGCCGAGAUCUUCAUCCAGGCCGAUUUGGCUUCCGUGUCGAGCUGGCGGGAGUUGCGUAUCUCCAUGCACUGGUGGUAGUCGGCCACCUGGUCCGGCUCGAUGUCGCGUUUCGCUUCGGCAUUGCACAGGUUUUGCUCUGCUUUUUGGAAGGUUUUAGCGGAGUGGAUAAGAGGCUCUCUCUCUCUCUCUCCCGUGUUGUCCCUCUCAACACGUGCAAUCACAUCAGCUGAUGAAAUUUCACACCUGCCAACCGUGCGCGCGUGCGUUUUGUGCAAUGAAGCAUACAAUAACGUCACUGUAAGGAGCGGAACAAUAACGUUUGGAAGACGGUACGGGGUUUUUUUUCUACCUAAGAUCACAAGAUCCCCGCGCGUUAGAAUGACUCUUCAACGGGGCUUCUCUUAUCACUGCACAAACACACUAUCAUCCCUUACCUC